UCAAGCUACCCCACAGCACCCCCAAAAGAAAAUCUCUGGCGCCGAUACUGGCCGCGACACAUGACAUUAUUUGUCAGGUGUAUGCUUAAUACUUCUAAACCCCACGUUACUAUUUUAAACACUUUUGCAUUUCUCCCACUGUGCAGGCCCAUUCAUCCCUGUGAGUCUGGGACCAGUCCGGAAGUUUCUAACUGUUGAUGUUUAGCAAAAAUGCAUGUGUUUAGAACGUUUUAAGACUUGGAUAAGUGUGCACAAGUUGUAUACAAAUUUGUAAGUAGAUGUUUUGAAAUAGUUUUGCUGUUGUUGAACACAGCUCCCAUUUUCUUCCAUUCAUCAAGACUUUGCUGUAUGUUUGGAUUUUUGGUUUACAGGGGAGGCAGGCGAGAAACAAACAUCCCUUUCUUCUAGGAUACUAACUAACAUGUGGGUGCAGUUUGACAUACUUGAUGCAGUGAGCAGCAGUGAGGACCCAGUCAGAAGAGAUGAGGGUCCCUCCACAGACGUGCCUCCAGCGCCCACUGCCGUCCGACUGAAGAGAGAUCUGAGCACAGCAGAGAGAGGCCAGCUGUGAGGCCUGACGUCCUCUCCUGCCACCACCCUGCUCAGCACAGGGGGGAAGGUGGGGAGGCCACAUCCGUAGGCUGGGACAAGUGGGAGUGUCGGAGCUUACAGAGCUGAUCCAGUCGAUGUAGGAGCUGACUCGGGUGAACACGGUGGGCUUCUUUGGGAAAUUGCAGCUGAGCCCGGAUCCGAAGCUGACGAUGCCCUGGACCUCCCAGGCUCCAUCAGUCCUCCGGCAGUUCAGAGGGCCGCCAGAGUCCCCCUGAG